rnacentral:rRNA from 1 species
UCCGCCUGGGGAGUACGGUCGCAAGAUUAAAACUCAAAGGAAUUGACGGGGGCCUGCACAAGCGGUGGAGCAUGUGGUUUAAUUCGAAGCAACGCGCAGAACCUUACCAACCCUUGACAUCCUGAUCGCGGUUUCUCGAGAGAGAUUCCUUCAGUUCGGCUGGAUCAGUGACAGGUGCUGCAUGGCUGUCGUCAGCUCGUGUCGUGAG